GUAUGAGGUAAGAAAAUUAAUUUUUUUAAUAAUAAUUUUUUAAUUUUCAAUUUUAGUUAAUACUGCGAAGCUUAUCACCUUCAUUGCUUCGCGGUUUGAAGCAGGUGAGAUCCACAUUAACGCAUUUACAAAUUCUAUUAGUCGAUGUUACAGCUCGCAAAUUUCUGCGCGAGUUCGUCAACGCGAGUAGUAGUACAAGCAGUUUGAAAUCGAAAUCUCUGCUCGAUCGCAUAGGGCUGUGCUAUGAAUUCGAAAAUCGAAUCUCACGCACUGAUGAAGUUAAUAUAGUAUCUCUUCUCUAUUUCUUAUUCGAAUUGGUAUAUUUUAUAUCUGUUUAUGCAUUUUUAGUCUGAAAUGCGAAGUACAACUAUAUUUAUCUGAUAAACUUGUAAAAUUGUUCAUGUAAACUGAUAAAUGGUUAACGUAGCUUAAAGUACACGAGGAAACUUCAAUCUCUGCGAUUUUCAUCAUGCUGUGAACAAUUUGCCUGAUUUCAACAAUUCUAGAGCUCUAUGUUGUAGCGAUUUGAAACUUUGCAGUAUCCUCAAUGAAAAUUACUUUUGUACUCAUGGGGAGGUCAUAGUGAAGAUACUACGAAAAAAGUUCCUGCAUAUUUGGAACCUUGGCCUCUGCUACCAAAAAUCAGGCUCUCAUGGAUGCAGCAGAUAACUGUAGUCAGUUGAGUUUGUCUUCUUGGAGAAAAAUUAAAGUCAUCUUGCUGAUAUUCCUGAAAGUGUCAUCAAAUUCUUGUUGGAAAAACAAUUCCUGAAGCAGAUUGGUGAUCUCGAGAACUGUUCGUUGCAAAACUACGUUCCAGAUUGGCAACAGUUCUUCAGUUCGUCGAAGUUAAAGAAGUUUGAGAGAGCCUAUUUCUGCUAGGAGGGAUGCUACCUGUUAAGAAGCAAGCUGCUCAAGAUAAAUUGGCGCGCAAAAGAGUCACAAGGUUAUUUCCUUUAUUUUUUGUUGACAGUUGUUGCUGCAUGUAAGGGUUGGAUUUUCUGGCGCACUCCUGUGGCUUUGUUGUAAUGGGUAGCUUUCACCAGAAUUCUUUUCCUUGCUGCAUUUCUUCUUCUCCUUUCUUUCUGGUUACCCUGUUAGUUUUUCUGUUAAUGUUGGUAGCUGCUGUACUAAUAUGGAUUGGGAGGGGAAGGAACCCUAUUGAUUCAUCUGUUCUGGCUCGGAUUUAUGUAGAUCUUUUUGCCUUAGCAGUUCUUUUGCUGGGAGUGUGGCAUUUGCAUGUUAUGGACUGGUAUUGUUCUUGAAAAUGAGCAAAGUGAGAUCUGAAAGGGCUUCAUCAGAAAUGUGGAAGGUUGCAGGCUUGGCAGUUGUUUCUGUUCUAUGUUUCACUUUAAGUGAGCUGUCGCCUUAUUCACAGAUAUACCCCUUCUUUUCAACUGGCGUGGACAGAAGAUAAAUGGUGUUUGUACAUCUCUUCUCAUGGUUUUAUAUUAUUUUAUAGGUUCUUCUAUACCUUCAGCAUUUGUGCUAUGGCUGAUGAGAGAACUACCACCUCCACUUGCAUUUCAGUCAACAGGAGUCGAGUACAAUAGCUUUUAUAAGUAACAGUUCAGCAACAGUACAGCCUCAGCGAUGGACAGCUGCUGCAAGUGUGCAAAAUCAGGUUACUUGCCUUCUUUUGACUCUAUUGCACACCUUGUUUACUGAUUGGUUUCUAGUCAUGUGCAUCAUGAUCUUGGCUAGGGAAUAUGUAGAAAAUGCAUGUUCUUUCAUAAGGGCUAUUCACUGAUCAAAUGAAAUGGGAAAAAGUUGAAGACAAAGAACACAAAUUAUUUAUCUCCUCGCACAUUACACUAGGGACGGGAAAUCAUGGUAGGUGAAGCUAUGUGUGUGAGAAUCAUUUUAGCUGUCCAUUAAAUUUUUCGUAAGAUCCACAAACUCGCCAGAAUUGCAGCUUAGCAGUUGAAAGACAACUUAUACAAACAUUGUUUUUUACCUUUCACCGAACAUCAAAACCCAAAAGAGAAUAUGGAAGGAAGUGCAGAAUCAAUGAAGAACUCAACUUUCUGCACUGGAGGUCUCAAGGGCGAGCCCCAUAUGAUCAUCUGAUGGAAUUGUACAUUGAUUGGUGAUUUUCAGCUAGAAACGAGGGAUUGACAAUACUAAAAAUGAGACAACUUCUCAGUUGAGUGGUUGGUGUUGUGGUUGAGUGAUCGAAGAAAGCUCAACUCAACGGGAAAAUAAUACCCCAUGUAUCUAAGCAAGGUGGGUUGCUCAGGGUAUACAUGCCUGCAUAACUUGGAUUUCUGUAUAUAUCAAACAUUGCAAUGAACUUUCCAAAUUUUACAGAUUCUUUUUUGUUGAUAUAAUGAGGUUUUAGAUUUUUCUUGCCUAACAAAA